AGCCUGCCGCGUGAGUGAUGAAGGCCUUAGGGUUGUAAAGCUCUUUUACCCGGGAUGAUAAUGACAGUACCGGGAGAAUAAGCUCCGGCUAACUCCGUGCCAGCAGCCGCGGUAAUACGGAGGGAGCUAGCGUUAUUCGGAAUUACUGGGCGUAAAGCGCACGUAAGCGGCUUUGUAAGUAAGGGGUGAAAGCCCAGAGCUCAACUCUGGAAUUGCCCUUUAGACUGCAUCGCUUGAAUCCUGGAGAGGUCAGUGGAAUUCCGAGUGUAGAGGUGAAAUUCGUAUAUAUUCGGAAGAACACCAGUGGCGAAGGCGGCUGACUGGACAUGUAUUGACGCUGAGGUGCGAAAGCGUGGGGAGCAAACAGGAUUAAAUACCCUGGUAGUCCACGCCGUAAACGAUGAUAACUAGCUGUCCGGGGACUUGGUCCUUGGGUGGCGCAGCUAACGCAUUAAGUUAUCCGCCUGGGGAGUACGGCCGCAAGGUUAAAACUCAAAUGAAUUGACGG
rnacentral:rRNA from 1 species